GCGGCUAGCAGACGACACAGGCGCGCUAUUCUUCGCAGUACCGAACUUGCGUUUUCGCAGUACGAAGUGUUGCUAAAAUACCAGCGGAAAUGUCGGACGAAAAUGAGAGCUGAAAACCCCGUUGAAAGGACGAAGAUUUGCAACGACAGACGAGAUAAAGGAAAAUUUGCAGACGGCACUUCGGGCGAUCCAGCAAGAGGCGUACUGGAAGUAGAAGUGGCGCUGGGAGCAGUGUAUCAAUUGUGGAGAAGAGUAUUUCGAAGGAGACCGUGCACAAUGAGUAAAAGGGGGCAGCUAACCCUCUGACCAAGCACGCUGAGCUACCGUGCCGGCCAACUCGUCUGACAGAAUGCCAGAGGCCUCUAACACGCCACGCAAAAUACUGAUAAACACUGUUGCUGUCGAGGAGACCAUUCACGGCUGUCACACCUGACAUGCUGCAGCGAGCUGAUGUCAUUCGCGAGGACAGACGCAUUCGUGGAAGACAUUUUGAGGACGAUGAGGAGGUGAUCCACAUAGUGAAGCACUGGCUCUGCCACCAGGACAAGGAUUGACACCGACAGAGCAUACACGUCUUGUUUCGCGCUGGAGGGCGGCCAUAGAACGGAAUGGACGUAUGUGGAAA